rnacentral:rRNA from 1 species
UACGUAGGGUGCAAGCGUUGUCCGGAAUUAUUGGGCGUAAAGAGCUCGUAGGCGGUUUGUCGCGUCUGCUGUGAAAACUCGGGGCUUAACCCCGGGCCUGCAGUGGGUACGGGCAGACUAGAGUGCGGUAGGGGAGACUGGAAUUCCUGGUGUAGCGGUGAAAUGCGCAGAUAUCAGGAGGAACACCGGUGGCGAAGGCGGGUCUCUGGGCCGUAACUGACGCUGCGGAGCGAAAGCGUGGGGAGCGAACAGG